UACGGGGGGGGCAAGCGUUGUUCGGAAUUACUGGGCGUAAAGGGCGCGUAGGCGGCCUUCUAAGUCAGACGUGAAAUCCCUCGGCUUAACCGGGGAACUGCGUCUGAUACUGGAGGGCUUGAAUUCGGGAGAGGGAUGUGGAAUUCCAGGUGUAGCGGUGAAAUGCGUAGAUAUCUGGAGGAACACCGGUGGCGAAGGCGGCAUCCUGGACCAAUAUUGACGCUGAGGAGCGAAAGCCAGGGGAGCAAACGGG
rnacentral:rRNA from 1 species